GUUUAACUGAAGGGUGCGCGCGCAGGUGGGCGUGUCUGGGGGGCUCCAGAGGAGCUUCUGGUCCGAAGCUCUCAUACCUGAGCUGGUCCUUUUUUGCCCCGCCCCGGAGUCAGUCGCCCAAUCUGGGAGCUGAGAUCACGCCUGCACUCUCUACUUCCUCUCGCCCUCCUUCUGGAGCCGUGAGCGUCCGCGCUUUUUCCGGUGUCGCGGUGCUUCCGUGUUGUCUACACCUGUGAGCAAGCAGUGAGAAAUUAAGUCGUUGACGUCUAGUAAACCGACCGAUCUGUUUGCCUGUUUUCCUUUUCGCAAGGAGUAGUUAAGACGCUCUCCUCCUGUUAGACUGUCUCAUUUCAAAAGCCUUUUGGGUUGAGAUGUGCGUUCGUUCCCUCUUUGGCUCCAGCGUUCCCGGAAUAGUUUUCUGUUCGUGGCCAUUCUACUUCUUUUGUGAAGGCAGGGAGCUUGGCUCCCAUCAAAUGCAUAUGAAAAACUCACGACAACAAGCACUUCUUGUCAAAAGAAGACUCUGAGAUGAUGGUUUGAGUACAAGUUGAGUGUAAGAAGUGGCCCUAGGAAACUCCAUUCAGAGGAUGGAGAAGCGAAACAAAGAAGAUAGGCAGUAAAGCGUGUGCUAUUAAUAAACUGGCUACCAUAGUGGGUGAUUAGAACCUAAUCCUGAUGAGGAACUCUGGCAACUAGUACACAAGAAACAUCUUGGAAUUAUCCCUACGGAGGGGUGAGGAAGCUGGGAUGUUAAUACUCCAUCUACUGAGAGUCCUGAGUGGAGACGCUGUUGCCAGUAUGGUAAUCCCCAGGUUCUGGUCUACGAUGCCUGGGCAAGGCAGACGUCUAGUUUUAGAAAAAAGUCCUCAGGAAUAAAUAUACAGAUAUGGACUGUUGGGAGUUGGUUGCAGCACAAUUAAAAGAGUAAAUAAAGUUCAAGAAAUGAGCGUGGGAUGCUGGUAGCUUCUGCUACAACGGGCAGUUUUUUGUUUGCAGACAAAAGGGUGCUCAGGAAUGGAAAAGCAUAGACUUUUUCUGUAAGAAGCACUUGCUAGUUUCCACUUGGAAUCCGUGCAGCUUCAAUAUAAGGACAAUUUCUCAGCAUCCUUAGUCCUGCAUAGUGCCCUGAUCCGUGCCUGGGUGUAGGCCUCUUUUAUCUUGUCAGGCUUAUUGGGAGCUCCCUGAAAGCACGACCCAGUGCCCUGUCUCCUCUAGUUUCCUCACUGGAGAACCCAGCACAGGCCUGGCCAAACGAGAACUCACGUUCUAAUUGAAUUGAUGACCACAUAGGUGAAUACUGCUCUAUACAUGGACUCAACAGAGAGAGAGAAAAGAAAAGCCAGUUGGAAUGAAAAGUCUUUGCAUAGCUCUUGCUUCUGCCUGCACUGCUGGGUCCCUUGAUGGUCGUGUGUCAGAUUCCUUGUUGUUCAUAUCUCAGCUGCAACGUCACCUCCCUGGGUCAUUCCUGACUCCAUUACUUAAAGUGGCCACCCAGACACUCUUUAGCACAUUACCUUGUUGUAAUUCUCUGCACAGCACUUCUUGCCAUGUGAAGCUUUCCUUGAUGGUUUAUAUUUUGUUGCCUGUCUCCCCAGAAAUACAGGUUAUUUAUACCGUGUUGCCUUCUUUAUAUAAGAAUAAAGUUUCCAUGAGAGCAAUGACAUUGUCUGGCUUACUCACUGUAGUACCUUCAGCACACACUAGUGGAUCACUGCCAUAUCCUCAUCUCAGGAGAAGGUGAUAAUGACAUCAGUCGCCACAGUUUUAAAUCCUGGGAAGCAGGCUUGGAAACCCAAGAGAAAGGCCCAGGCCCUAUGUCGGUUUUUGGGAGAUCAGCUUGACCCCGAGAGCUGGAAAAGGGCUGACAGGCAGAGUGGAGGCUUAAUCUUGAAGCAGGAGAUCCUCUGAGAAAAGCAGUUAAUACAGUCUGGUCAGGUUUGGUCUUUACCUUUUUAAAUCACCUUUCACAACUAUAUUGAGUUCUGGGUCCCCUAAGAGGGAUGGUAGGUGCUUCCCUCUGAAGCAGACUGAUAGAGACAGGCUGGGGCAUGUACCAUAACAGCUAAGUGGCCUGUGCCAACUUCUCCAGUGUGUCUCUCCAGAAAAGGGCCCUCUGGAGAGUCUGGCAAUUUUCUGGGGCAAUUCGGGUAAACUGUGGCUUAAACAGACUUGGCUGUUUCCAGAGGCCUCUGAUUUGCCCUGAUUCAGUUGUCUACAUGCAGACUGACAUAUCCUUCCAAGAGACGAAAAGAGGGGAACACAGCAGGUCACCAACUCCUUCCCUCUAAGGGGGAACUGGACUUUGUCUUUACGGCUAUUCCCCCUACUACACAGGAAGCUACCCUAAACUGCCAUAGGCCACACUGGCUUGCUCAGAACCCAUACACUGGAACCUCCAGUGCUCUGUCACAGACCCUUGCCUCCCGUGCCAGUAGUGGACAGUUCCUACAAGGUCAGACUCACAUUGUGCUAGCAGAAGCCCAUCAGAGGGGCUGCCAUGCAGCUUUUUACUUUCUUCCUCCUCUUGACAUCUAGGGCCCACUUGGCCACAAAGGCUGCUUGUUAGUACAGAGGAGCUAACUCCCCUGGAGGCAACCCCAGCCAGGGUCUCUCAGGCAGACACUUCUGAGACGUUUUUAUGCCUUUAGGUCCAUCCUUCUGACCCCUGCCCCAGAAUUGAGCCUUUAUUGCCUAUAGCGGUAACUUUGAUAACACACUUGUUUAGCGGCUUUUCCUUCUUCUUUGUCUCAACGUCCUCAUGGCCUUAUUCCUGUUUCCUGAGAUCACCUCCCAAAUAAACUAUCUGCACCCAA